rnacentral:rRNA from 1 species
AGAGUUUGAUCUGGCUCAGAACGAACGCUGGCGGCGUGCUUAACACAUGCAAGUCGAACGUGAUCCGGAGCUUGCUCCGGUGAAAGUGGCGCACGGGUGAGUAACGCGUGGAUAAUCUGCCCUGGUAUCUGGGAUAACAUCUCGAAAGGGGUGCUAAUACCGGAUAAGCCUACGGAGCCUUCGGUCUCUGCAGGAAAAGGUGGCCUCUAUUUAUAAGCUACCGUAUCAGGAUGGGUCCGCGUACCAUUAGCUAGUUGGUGGGGUAAUGGCCUACCAAGGCGACGAUGGUUAGCUGGUCUGAGAGGAUGAUCAGCCACACUGGAACUGAGACACGGUCCAGACUCCUACGGGAGGCAGCAGUGGGGAAUUUUGCGCAAUGGGGGAAACCCUGACGCAGCAACGCCGCGUGAGUGAUGAAGGCUUUCGGGUCGUAAAGCUCUGUCAGAGGGGAAGAAAUGAGAUUGGCUAAUAUCCAAUUUUCUUGACGGUACCCUCAAAGGAAGCACCGGCUAACUCCGUGCCAGCAGCCGCGGUAA